UACGGAGGGUGCGAGCGUUGUCCGGAAUCAUUGGGCGUAAAGGGCGCGUAGGUGGCGGCUUAAGCGUGCGGUGAAAGCUCGGGGCUCAACCCCGAGUCGGCCGUGCGAACUGAGUCGCUUGAGCACUGUAGAGGCGGGUGGAAUUCCGGGUGUAGCGGUGGAAUGCGUAGAGAUCCGGAAGAACACCAGUGGCGAAGGCGGCCCGCUGGGCAGUGGCUGAC
rnacentral:rRNA from 1 species